rnacentral:rRNA from 1 species
GACGAACGCUGGCGGCGUGCUUAACACAUGCAAGUCGAACGGAAAGGCCCUGCUUUUGUGGGGUGCUCGAGUGGCGAACGGGUGAGUAACCCGUGAGUAACCUGCCCUGGACUUGGGGAUAACUUCAGGAAACUGGGGCUAAUACCGGAUAGGAGCUGCUGCUGCAUGGUGGGGGUUGGACAGUUUCGGCGGAGGUGGAUGGACGCGGGGCUUAUGAGCUGGUUGGGGGGGUAGUGGCUUACCAAGGGAUUGACGGGUAGCCGGCCUGGGAGGUGGGACGGCCACCUUGGGACUGAGAUACGGAGCAGUCUGCUACGGGGGGCAGCAGUGGGGAAUAUUGCACAGUGGGGGGACGCCUGAUGAAGCGACGCCGCGUGUGGGAUGACGGUCUUCGGGUUGUGAACCGCAUUAGCCUGUGACGAAGCGUGAGUGACGGUACUGGGUGAAGAAGCACCGGCUAACUACGUG